ensembl:lncRNA
AGCAUCCUCCUUUCCUGACCCUGGCAGGGUUUGAAACCCCUCACCUUCGAGCCUCUUUCUUUCUGGGUCUCCUGCUGCCCCUCCGACUGCUCCUCCUCAGCUUCCUUUUCCUCCAGAGGCUCUGUCUUUACUUACCGCUCUCCCCUCUAGGUUGACUCUCUCCAUAAGUAGUCUCCUCCUUCCUGCCCUUCACCCUCACAUGGCUUAUUCUCUCCACCAGGCCCACACACUCACCUCCAGGGUGUUGGGGGCCUCACCAGGAGGCCCCACACCUGGGACGCAGAGCUAAGUGCAUGGCCCAAAGACUAUAAGACUCGUAUGUUUUUGCCUUAUUCCUAGCCCUAUCUUAUGUUCCUUCUUAGGUUUCUUUUUAAAUCUUGUUCCUUUGUACUCAUCUCAUAGUUUAUAGACCCUUUUAAGUUGCCUUUAAAUCUUUCCCCAGUAAGGCUAUGCAAAAGCAAACAAAAACUAAGAUCAACAAUAAGAGCCACAAAGACCUACAAAAAGAUCAACAAAACCAGUCUCCAUCUGGUCCCUGAUGGCCCUCACCUUCUGCUUGGUUCUCCUGAAGCUGCCUUCCUCCCCUGGGCCCUGUUUCUAUUGAUGGCACUGCCAGAUUUCUGGCACAGAAAACCGGAAGGCCCCGCUGACUCAGCUUCUCUGUCUGCACGAGCCAACCUCAAUAUCUCUUCCGAAACCAUUAUUCAUUGUAGAAAAGCAAUAGAUAUUCAUUGUAGAAAAUUUUCAAAAAUGCAAGUCAACAAAAAGAAGAAUGUGAAAACCACCUAUAAUUUUAUCAACAAGAAAACACUUGUAUUUUUUUGGUCUUCCUGGUUCUGGGCUCAGCUGAUGGAACCCCAGGAGCUACUGCAGCACACACAGCCACCUGUUCAUCUCAUUUUAUACCUCCUUCAUGAAGCUGUCUCCAAGAUGGCAGACUAGAAGAACAUGCACUCAUCUUCUGUGAGAAUUCCAAAAUUACAACACACUGCUGAACAACCGUUGACAGGAGACUGUUGGAUCCCACCAAAAAAGAUACCCCAUGUCCAAGGGCAAAGGAGAAGCCCCAGCAAGAUGGUAGGAGGGGAGAAAUCACAUUUUGAAUCAAACCCCGUACCCAUCAGAGAUGCUUGGAGGGCUCAAACAAACCUUGUGCACACCAGGACCCAGAGACCCCACAGAGACUGAGCCAGAACUGUGUUUGAGUGUCUCCUGUGGAGACACGGGUCAGCAGUGGACUGCUUCAGGGGCAGGAGCUCUGGGUGCAGUAGACCUGGGUAUGACAUAAGCACUCUUGGAGGAGGUUGCCAUUAACCCCACCAUAGAGCCACCAGAACUUACACAGGACUGGGGAAACAGACUCUUGGAGGGCACAAACAAAACCUUGUGUGCACCAGCACCCAGGAGAAAGGAGGAGUGAGCCCCAUAAGAGACUGACCCAGACUUGCCCGUGAGUGUCUAGGAGUCUCUGGUGGAGGCAUGGGUCAGUGGUGGC